UAACACAGACUGGCGACGAAGCACAUCCCAGACAGUGCGCGCGCGACCCCUAGAACAUGCUGAAGUGAAUUUCACACGGUGUGAUAUUUUUCGCUUAAAGAGAAAACUUCGUGAUAAAAAAAAAAAAGCAAAUAGAUGUCUAUUUUCACAGACCCCAGAACUAACCCAUUUUUUCAACAUUUGAUCGAGAGAAAACCUGGUGACUAGCCCAUCUGGUCUGAAGAUAUAACUAGCCCACCAAUCUCAUCCUGCCAUGUCAACAUAUUAGAGGGCAAUUUACGCACUUGCCUACACCAAAUUUUAUCCCUACACAAACUCUCCCUCCGUGCAUCACUUUUUCACUCUACUACCCAAAUCACGUUUUCAUUCUGCUACCCAAACUCCACCCCCCCCCCCGGCGCGACUGCGACCGAGCUCACACAGACCGGCAAUAUAACAUGACUGCGACGGAGCUAACAGAGACUGGCGACGAAGCACAUCCCAGACAGUGCACGGGCGACCCCCAGAACAUGCUAAAGUGAAUUUCACACGAUCCCAAGGCAAGUAAAUUUCACACGGUGUGAUGCUUUUUGCUUAAAGAGAAAACCCGGUGAUCAAAGAAAGCAAAUAGAAGUUUAUUUUCACAAACCCCACAGCUAACCCAUUUUUUCAAUAUUUGAUCAAGUUCAAAAGAGAUAUUCUCCAAGCAAAAGAGAUAAAUAAAGAGAUAAAAUCAAACCAUUGGUGGCGGAAACAGGAUUUUCACAAGAUUUUGGAGGAUAAAUCAGAUUGGAGGGGAAGGAUUAUUUUCAGGUGCAAGGGAUUUUGCGAGAUUCGAAGAGAAAUGAAGGGUGCAGCGUUCCUGCAGGUUUAUAUUGCUCUUGUGGUCAUCUAAUACAGGAUAUUCUAGCUUUGCUGUCUUAUCUUUUCGGUUUGGGACAUUUGUUAUGUGAAAAGAGAUGCUAACCAUGUGGCUCAUCUCCUAGCAAAAGCUGCAAUUUCUUUAACCAGUAAUUCUGUAUUCUUGGACAAAGUAGAUUGAAUCAAGCAUCUUGUAAUGUCUUAAACAAAUCAAUUAAAGCCUAUUAUAAUAAA